AGUAGGGAAUCUUGCACAAUCGACGAAAGUCUGAUGCAGCAACGCCGCGUGUGCGAUGAAGGCCUUCGGGUUGUAAAGCACUUUUCUGAGGGAAGAGAAAGGACGGUACCUCAGGAAUAAGUCUCGGCUAACUACGUGCCAGCAGCCGCGGUAAUACGUAGGAGGCGAGCGUUAUCCGGAUUUAUUGGGCGUAAAGCGCGUGCAGGUGGUUUGGAAAGUUGGGUAUGAAAUCUCCUGGCUUAACUAGGAGAGGUUGCUCAAAACUACCAGACUAGAGGACGAUAGAGGAAGGUGGAAUUCCCGGUGUAGUAGUGAAAUGCGUAGAUAUCGGGAGGAACACCAGUGGCGAAGGCGGCCUUCUGGGUCGUUCCUGACACUAAGACGCGAAAGCAUGGGUAGCAAACGGGAUUAGAAACCCCGGUAGUCCAUGCCGUAAACGAUGUGAACUUGAUGUCGGUGGCGUAAUAGUCAUCGGUGUCGAAGCUAACGCGAUAAGUUCACCGCCUGGGGAGUACGAUCGCAAGGUUAAAACUCAAAGGAAUUGACGGGGACCCGCACAAGCAGCGGAGCGUGUGGUUUAAUUCGAUGCUACACGAAGAACCUUACCUGGGCUUGACAUAUAGGUGGUAGGGAUCCGAAAGGUGACCGACCCCUCGGGGAGCUUAUACAGGUGCUGCAUGGCUGUCGUCAGCUCGUGCCGUGAGGUGUCCGGUUAAGUCCGGUAACGAGCGCAACCCUUGCCGUAUGUUACAUGUGUCAUGCGGGACUGCCGGUACAAAACCGGAGGAAGGUGGGGACGACGUCAAGUCAGCAUGGCCUUUAUGUCCAGGGCUACACACACGCUACAAUGGCCGGUACAAUGGGUAGCAAAGUCGCGAGGCGAAGCCAAUCCUCAAAACCGGUCCCAGUUCGAAUUGCAGUCUGCAACUCGACUGCAUGAAGCCGGAGUUGCUAGUAAACGCGCGUCAGCAAUAGUGCGUUGAAUACGUUCCCGGGUCUUGUACACACCGCCCGUCACGUCAUGGAAGCUGGUAAUACUUGAAGCUAGUAUCUUAACCCUAACGGGAAGGAGCUGGUGAGGGUAGGACCGGUGACUGGGACG
rnacentral:rRNA from 1 species